AGCUGUAACCACAAAUUGUAGCGGCCCUCCCCGGGGUGGGGGGAGGAGGGGGGAGGAGGGAAGGGAGGGCGUCUGGGGCUCCUCUCCCUCCCACAGCACCGAGGGGGGGUGAGGUGAGGCGAGGCUGUGGCGGUACCACCCUGGGCCUCCUGGGGGAGGGGGCGGGGAGGGCAUCAGUCCGUCUGCAAACACCCAGAACUCGCGAGGGAGCCGCCCGUCCCUUUCUCUCGCCUUCGGUGUCGGCCUGGAGCGCUGCCCGCUGCCCGGCGCGGGUCUCGCUCUCACCAUACCUCCGUCUCCUCAUCGCUAACCUUCCCCCCCACACACACACCCAGUAAAUGCAAUGACACAUUCUCCCAAAUGCCAGCGAGCUGGCCUCCAAGCAAGUGAUGGUGUUUUUCCUGCUGUCCUUUGUCUGGGCUGACCGCCCCCCUUGCCUAUUGUCCCGCCGCCUGUCCCAUUUCCAAAAGCUGGGGCUGAGUGAGGCGCCAGGCCGGGGCAGGUGACUAACCGGCUCACAAUGCCCCCUGCGGGGGAGGAAGAGGCCACCACAGGCCCACUGCCCGGCCGGGAGGAAAGAAGAGGGCUCUUGGCCGAGGGCUUUUCCCUCAAGUUCACAAGGUUCUUCAUUCUUCCCAGGGGCUAGGAGUGUGCGCCGGGCUGGGGACUGGUAAUUCAUUAAUCAGCAGAGGCACCCGGGCCAGUUUCAACUCCAGGGCUUCACCCGUGACUCAGCGGGAAGGCUCCGACUCAAGGCGAUGGACAGACCCGUUGGCGAAAUGCUUCCCCACUAGGACAUUUGGCUUCGCCUGCCUCUGGGGUUUGGGCUGUUGGUUUUUUCCGGAGGUGGGGUAGGUAGGGCUGGUUUGGCUGCGGAGUGUUCUCCCUGCUCCCUUCCCUCAGGCCUGGGCUGGGACUUGCUGGGGGCAGGAGGAUACCCAGGGGACCCAUAAGCCUACACCUUCCAGGGUCCCCCUUCCUCCACAGAGGGUUGCCAGGGAGAAUGCUGAGGAAACAGCUCUCAUCUGGGGUCGUGCAGAAAGCCUCAGACCACUUGGAGACGUUUCUUGGGGGACAGUCAUUCGCUCGUCAAGGCUCGAGUGCUCUAGAACCAAACCAGCAAUAAAGCCAUUUGGCUGAACGCUGGAGUUUCAAUGACAUUCUUGGCCGGUGAGCCCAAUGAUCUUCGAUGCCCAUGCCAAGGAUGGCGGGAGUACCAGUGAGCUGAUGAGGAUGACACUGCUUCGCUGUCCUCUGGCCUUCUGGACUCCAGGCCCUGCCAUCCACGGUGGGGUGGCAGGGAAGGCUCUCCCGAUGCCCCAAAACAUCAUACCCAAGGCAGCUGCAGAAUUGGCAUUGAAGGGGCCCUGGGCCCUGGGUGUCCUGGAUUCCUGAACUAGGGAGGCUUCCGGUUUGGUCCCAUCCUGAUGGGUUAGCUGGAGUGUAACAGUGGAGAAGCCCACAGAGGACAACUCUCCUCCAACGAGAAACGACUGGAGCCUUUGACUUGGCAGCCCAGACAGCCUCCGGAGGAGCACUGGAGCUGGAAGGGCGAUGCGCAGGUCUCGGUGAGCUCAGAAGGGAGGAGGCGCCCCAACUGAUCUGGCUGUGCUGGGUGCCAGCCCCGUUCUGGGCUGUCUGUCUGCAAGAUGCGGGUGGUUCGGGUCUCUGAGGAGCUCACCCCUCCUGGUCCCAAGGGUACCUUUCUGGGGUCACCUUGUAGUCCUCGACAGAGUGUUCUGAGCACAUAUCAGUUUCAGCCACUGAUUGCUACAUUUGUUAAACGAAACGGACUCGAGAACUCAAGGCAUGCGAAGGGCCGUGGUGUAGAGAAAGGAGAGGUCAGAGUUCUGACCCUAGACUACUGUGGGGGUGCACUCGAGACGGCGGUGAUAGGACACAGCAAUACUCAUCACAGCAACACUGACAGCGUGCGCUGAGAACUCCACAAACUUUGACUGACAGCCCUUCCAGGAGGAAAACUGAGGCCCAGAGAAGAGCCUUGACUUGCCUGAAGCUGUCUGUGAGUAGGACAGAAGCCCCCCCCGCGCCCAGGCCUCCUGACUUCUGGCACAGACCUCACGUUGUCUUUGGGUCCCUAUGCCCACACUUUGCCAACACGCAGGGUUCCUGACAGCUUUGAGCCCCUCGUGCCCAUGUGCCUCCUCCCUCUGGACCUGAGCGGCACUACUGGCCGUGCCAGCUGCAAGCCUGGAGAGGCUGCUCGGCCUCCGAUUGGAGAGCGCCCUCCGGCCCCACAGCCCUGGGAGGCAGGACAGCUAACUGCAGCUCCUCUCUAGAGUUGUGGCCAGAUGAGGGGCACUAGGAAGCCAGAGGGACCUCAGUGAGCAUCUCAUGCCACCAACAACCACAGAGACACGGAGAGAUUUGCACAAAGUCACACAGUAGGUCCGUGUUGAAGCACAGACUAGAAACCCAGGCCUCCUACGCCCAGCUCUAGGCUUCUUUCUGGCAUCUGUGUCCUUCAGAAGGGGUGUGUGUGUGCGCGCGCGCGCGCGCGCACAUGAGAGGAAAGAGAGAGACACAGAAAGACAGAGAGACAGACAGAGACAGACAGGGACAGACAAAGAAAGAGAGAGACUGAAGGACUCAUUAAAAGUCCUAAAGAGUUUAUCUAGGGCCUUCCUCCAAAGACUUCAAGGCCACAGGACCCUAUAGCCCCAAAGGGAUCAGGAGCAGACAUGACUGGCGAUUCACAGCUUCCCCCUCCCAGCCUUCAAGGGAGCUCUGUCUCAUUUUGGUUGUGCUGCUCAGGUACAUACUAGCGGGGAAGACGACCGCUAAAUGAAUGCACACACGUGUGGAAUAACGUUGAGUUGUGCUAAGUGCUGUGGAUAACCCAGAGUAAGGGCUUAGCUAGAGAGUAGGGGGGAUGAGGAGCAGAGAAGGCCUACUGAGGAUGGGCAACUGAAGCUGAGCCCUAGGAAGAGAAGGAGCCAGCUUAUGAGAAGAAGGAAGAACAUUCCAAGGGCUGAGGACAGCCCGUGAAGAGACCCCAAGGCGUAAAAGGAUGUGAUGGUUUCGGAGAACUGACAGGCCAGCUGGCUGCAGAAGAAGGCUGGAGACAGGUGGAGAGGUGGCUGGGGCCAGCUCCUGCAGGUUCAGGCUAAGGAGUGUGGAUUUGAUGUCAAGUGUAGUACUUGGCAAACAAUGGAGGAUCUAAAUAAGGGAGAGGCGUGACACAAUUGAUAUUUUAGGAAGGUCACAUUGGUGCUGUCUAAAAGUGGACUGGAGGAGACAGGCUGGAGGUCGGGGACCACUCAGCUCCUACAGUUGCCCAGGUGAGAGAUGAUGGUGGCCUGAGCCAGGAUGAUGGCCUUGGGAAAUGGAAGAGGAGGGCAAAGUUGCCAUCUGUUGGGAGGUAGAGCCGUCAGGGUUUGCGGAAGAACUGUAGUAUGUGGGGUAAGGGGAAGGUGGGGGUCAUAGAUACUUAGGUAGAGGUGGUACACUUUACACUGAUCUCCCUAGAAGGCAAGAAUAAUCUCCUCCAGUGCUCUAAGGAAGCCUGGAGAGGGAGGGGAGCUGAAGGCAGGGAGAGACAACGUGGGGUCCAGAAUUGCAGGCCAGAAGCUGGAGGGCAAGGGCCCCACAGACAAACAUAAUCUCCUCACUGCAGACAGUACCAGGGGGGCAAGGCCAGGCCCAUCCUAAAGGAACUCAGGGAUGCCCAGAGCCUUUCAAAGCACCACAGAACCUUGGUGCUGAGGGGGACUAGAGGUCAGAGUUCCCUUCACAUUACACACCAACAGGAGGCCUCAGGCCAAGGGCAGACCACUCCGGCUGAUGAAACCCCUCCUUUUGCACACCGCAGGUUGUUUUUUUAAAUGGCCACAUAAGCAAGCUUCUACCCUCGUAAAAACGUUCCCGAUGCUUCUCAUUACUGCCCCUCUCAUUUGGCAGCCGCCCCCUCUCCGCGAGGCUCACAGACCUUCCCUCUCCACGGGGAAAACCCCCCACAACACUGAGCCUUUUCUCUCGCUUUCCCCUGCUAGGUACACCCUUCCAUCCCCUUCUGCCAGGAGAAUCUUGUGUUCUUCAAUGCUCAAGGAAGAAUCCUCGAAUCCAGAAUGAACUGCCACCUCCCACCCCGGGAUCGCCGCGACUGCUUUCAUCUCUUUUUAGUGCUGGUGCCUGCUUCUUAGUGUCGAAUCCCCGGCCCGGAUUGGGCGCGACGAUCUUGUUUCGACCCCGUAUGCUCGACAAGACACCCAGGAAGUCCGUACUAAAU